UCCCUUCUCUCUCUCUCUCUCUCUCUCUAUCUCUCUCUCUCUCUCUCUCUCUCCGGCCUCUGCGAUUUUGCGAGGCACCAUUUCCCGGCGAGUCGGAGAACGGAGGGGAUAAACCCGGCCUGCCGGCGAUUUAUUAUUCUCUGAUCUCCUCGUUACUUCACCCUGGAAAUUUCUUGUCUUUCUAAGAGCUAUGGGCUGUUCUUGCUUCAGAUAAUCUUGGUACAAGCGUGAAGAUUUGAAUUUCAUCGGCGGGUUCUUGCUCUAUAUUUGAAUUCGGGAUUGUUCGAACACGUCUGCGUUUUCUUCAGGCAUUUUCCGUCUUCUGCAUCCAUUCUUUGGGUGCGAAUGGUUGACAUUGUAAAUCAGGAGUAUGGGAAACGCCCGGUUUCAGGUGAACCGCUUGCCAGUUGGUGACAAAACUGGAAAGGUUAUUAAACCUAAACCAUUGCGCACAGCUAGCGUCCCUGGACUACUAGGUAUAGCUUGAGAAGUCACGAGAUGACCCUUAUACGGCAAGAGGGCCCUCAUGUUUAUCAUCUUGAUGUUGCGGCAAUGUAUCCAAAUAUCAUCUUAACAAACAGGCUUCAGUGAUUGCUAGUUGUUGCUGGCUCUUAGCAAAUCAGGUUGCACCCCUCGCAGUUAUGAUUUUGAACCCCUCUACUGAAGUCUGAAGGAAAAUAAAAGCCACCCACCUGUGAACAGUGUCCACAUAAAAUGGGUUCUCUCUCAUGCAUAGUCUGAAGGAAAAUAAAAGUCCAGUACUGGUUUAAAUGCCUGAGGAAUAUGUGUAUACUUCAUUCCUUCUAUGGAUAUAUCAUGCGCAAAGGUGCAUGAUGGUACUCCAUGGAAAUGGCUGGUGCUGUUACCUACAUUGGAGCGAAAAUCAUUCAGAAUGCUCGCUUGCUUAUCGACAGGAUUGGGAAACCACUUGAGUUGGAUACAGAUGGUAUCUGGGAGUGUUGUUUUCCUGGAUCUUUUCCGGAGAACUUUACUUUUAAACUGAAAAACAUGAAGAAGUUUACGAUCUCUUACCCAAUUGUGUAAUGCUAAAUGUUGACGUGGCAGAAAAUAAUACAAAUGAUCAAUAACAGGUUUGCUGAGCUACCCUUUAUUGAGGAUCUUAAUAUCGAUGUGCAUUCUACUAUGUUGUUCAUUGUACAAUCCGGAAAGUGAUUGCCUCUAUCUUGUUUCAUUUUCUUUUUGUGUGAAAUGAUUUUGCCACAGACUCUUGUAGAUCCCGUCGACAAAACAUAUAAGACACAUACUAAAUGCUCGAUUGAGUUCGAAGUUGAUGGAUCACCAAGGUAAGUGUCUUGAGAUGGACCUUUUGAAUGUCUUGCUUUAUGGUUGCCAGGAAUAAGCAUGUGAUAUCCUUUCCGAACCGGCAAUGAUUCUUCCUGCAUCGAAAGGGGAAGGAAUUUUAAUUAAGCAGCUGUUUCCAAUCACGAUGGAUCCUUGGCGGAGCUCAAGAUAAAGCGUAGAGGUGAGCUGAAACUCAUCGAAGUUUUUCAGGCUGAGCUUUUUGACAAAUUUCUCCAUGGAUCAGCACUUCAAUAGUGUUAUUUGGCUGUCGCAAAUCGCUGGCUUGAUGUACUCGAUGUCUGUGAUGUCGUUUGAUACUUCUUCUUUUUGAGUAAAUUCAUAGUUACGGAGCAUUUUAGCAUUUAUACAGUCCGUAUAGGUGUCACUAGCUUCUCAUAAUUGCCGUUGGAUCAUAUUAUUCAUAAAUUCUCCUUUUAUUUCUUUCAGAAUCAAGGAAAAGAUAUCAGACAGUGAAUUGCUAGAUUAUAUAUCAGAAUCGUGUACAAUGAGCAAAUCUUUAGCAGAUUAUGGCGAGCAGAAGUCAUGUGCCGUGACCACAGCAAAACGCCUUGCUGAUUUUCUUGGUGACACAAUGGUCAAAGAUAAAGGAUUACGUUGCAGAUGUGUAGUUGCUUGCGAACCAAAGGUGCAUUUAUACUUAGGUAGAGAUUUCAUACAGACACUUUUUCUCCCUCUUUGGCAGAUUGGGCAGUUUUUUGCUUGGAUGGUGUGGAAGGGAUGAUGCAUAAGAUCCCAUUGACUAUUCCAAGGGUGUUUUACAUUUAAUUCCAAAGCACCGAUAGCUGAAACUUUUCGGGGAAAGCAUGUCAACAAAAUUCUUCCUCAUGGAAGACAUUGCUAUAAUCUGAUCGAGGCAUGUGUCUAACCCUUAUGCAUUGUUGCCUCUGUAGUUCUUUUACCCAGAAGCAUUAAUCUUUCUUGACAGGUUGUAAUUCAGGAAGAUCAAUUUAAAAAUGAAAGCAAAAAACUUGCAUCCCUUCUUUCAGACCCCGAAAUUGAGGUAAGUUUUCUUCUAAUUUUCAGCUCGAGUCAUGCAUAUGAUCUGUUUAAAGAAACUCCCUGCGUCAUGUGAGGGUUAGGGACAGGGUAAAAGGGGCACAGGAAAGUUUAUAUGUUUGGACUACACUGGCUCAUUGAUUUCAUUAUUUGUUCACUGCAGCGCAGAAACCGUGAAUGAAAAUUUGAAAACGAGUGCACAGGAAAGUAUUUCUUAUUCAUUUCUUGUUGAAGGUUUCUUUCUGUAAUGGAGUUGAAGAUAUCUUUUACCUUUUUUGGACGUGAAAUCACGUGGUUUUAUUGGCACUGAUGCGGUACUGCUGCUUAGGUGUCUUAGUGGGCGAUUCAGCCCGGUAACAUUGGAGAAAACCUUCUGUUUGGCAGUCCAAUGGAUAAAUAAAACAAAGUGACAAGAAUGUGACACAAGCAUGCUCCUUAAAAAAGGGAUUUGGAGCUUCUCACAUGAGGACCAGACCAUAGUCGGUGAUAGAGGUAUAAAUCUCAGUGGUGGUCAGAAGCAAAGAGUACAACUUGCGAGAUGCCGAGAUGAUCCGUUCAGUGCUCCUGAUGCACACACUAGCUCCGAGCUUUUCAGGGUAACAAAUUCUAUGCGUCAUUGAAGAUUCGUUUCAUUUUGAUACCUGUUUGGACGUACAAUUGAACAACUGUAGGAAUAUAUAUCAUCUGCAUUGGCUGAGAAGACUGUCAUUUUUGUGACACAUCAAGUCGUGUUUCUUUCUUGUGCUGACCUAAUCAUGGUAGGAGUUUGGUUCUUAGUUUACUUGUCUCCAAGGAUUUAGGCUAUUGUGGGCCUGUUAGUCUUUUAGGUGUUAAGUUGUCUAUAUUGUACUCCCUCCGUUUUAAAAUAUUUGUAAUUUUAGGUUAUUUUCUAUGUUUCAAAAUAUCAGUAGUUUUACAUU